rnacentral:rRNA from 1 species
UACGUAGGGUGCGAGCGUUGUCCGGAAUUAUUGGGCGUAAAGAGCUUGUAGGUGGUUUGUCGCGUCUGCUGUGAAAUCCGAGGCUCAACCUCGGACUUGCAGUGGGUACGGGCAGACUAGAGUCCGGAAGAGGAGAGUGGAAGUUCCUGGUGUAGCGGUGAAAUGCGCAGAUAUCAGGAAGAACACCCGUGGCUAAGGCGGCUCUCUAGUACGGUACUGACGCUGAGACGCGAAAGCGUGGGGAGCGAACAGG